GAAGACCUGAGGGCUGGAGCUGUGUUCCUAUAAAGAAAUUAAAUGAGUCAAUCAGAGGGAAGCAAAAGGCCUGCAAGAGGGUAAGUUCCCCCAUUGGUUAUGCCUGAUGAUUAGAUUUUAUUUAUUUGUUUUUUUACUGAAUCUGGGUGUGGUGGUACAUGUCUGUAACCUCAGUACUCAGGAAGCUGAGCUCAAAGUCAGCCUGGGCUUCAUAAGAAUUUGAGCCACUCUGAGUUGCACAGCGAGAUUCUCUUGUCCAAACACAAUUUUGAGCUCUGACACUUGCCAGGUUUUUGCUGCCCUGUCCAACACCUCUGAAAGAUAACGAGAAAUAACUUUGGCACAUAGAGAUUUCAAAGCAGAAAACAGGAUUGUCAUUAAGAGUGGAAAAACAAUAUUAACUAACUGGACCCCUCAGAACUCCCAGGGACUAAACCACCGCUGCAUACGUAGCAGAGGAUUGCCUUAGCUGGCAUCAAUGGGAGGGGAGGCGAAUUGCUCUGUGGAGGCUCUGAUGCCCCAGUGAAGGAGGAUGCUAACGGGUGACGCAGGAGUGGGUGGAUGGGCUUAGAGGCAAAGGGCUGGGGGUGGGGUGGGAUGGGGGUUUGUGGAGGGGUGACUGGGAAGGGGGACAACAUUCAAUAAAAAACAAAGAAGAAGAAGAAAAAGAGUGGAAUUUGGUACCGGAGGGAACAACCAAGCAUUUCCUUUGGGCCGAUUUCAAGCAUUGGACCAUGCACUGAAGAUCUGCUUGCUCAAAGGGAGGGAGACUUGUUUCAAAAUCUCUGUAGAGGUCCACCUGUGUUAUCUUUUGCAAUUUAUUUUCCUGACGCACUUCCAAGUCUUCUGUGAAGUGUUCCU
rnacentral:lncRNA from 1 species